UACGGAGGGGGCAAGCGUUAUCCGGAUUUACUGGGUUUAAAGGGUGCGUAGGUGGGUUGGUAAGUCAGUGGUGAAAUACUUUCGCUUAACGAAGGAACUGCCAUUGAUACUAUCAAUCUUGAAUGUAGUGGAGGUAGGCGGAAUGCGUCAUGUAGCGGUGAAAUGCUUAGAUAUGACGCAGAACACCAAUUGCGAAGGCAGCUUGCUACACUACUAUUGACACUGAGGCACGAAAGCGUGGGGAUCAAACAGG
rnacentral:rRNA from 1 species